UCUUGUGGACAUUAGGAGGGGGUUCUCGGCAUGAGAAGUGGAUGAGGAGGGCUCUCAAGAGAGAGCACGGCCCGCUGUGCUGUGGCUGCUGAGCUUUCCUGGGGCUGCUCUGCACCUUCCAUCCUGUGAUCUUCCUUGCCCAUCCUCAGCCGGUCAGACGCCACCUUCGCCCCUGUCUUGGGACUCUGUAAUAAGCCAGUGGCUCCUGGUGGAAAGGGAGCCUUUGCACAGCACAGAGGUUCUGGGCUGGAAGCGGCCGUGUGAGCCUGGCUUAAUUCUCCACUGCAUUAAUAUUAAUAGGAGACAGUCGGCUGCGGGUGCAGAUGCGGGGGCGGCGCCCGGGAACAAAGGCGACUGGGAGUUCAGCAGGAUGGUGGGGGCGGGGACCUGCAGGAGGCUGCGCUUCCUCACACCGACCCCAACUUACCCCUCCCUGCCACGGGGGCUGCUCGGGCGUGUCUCAGCCUGAACCCCACCAUCCAGUGCACGGCCCCGAGGAGGAGUAACUGUCAGAACGCAGCUUGGGAUCUCCUAGUGACAGGCAGGCGCUCACCCCCUCCUGGACGGCCAUCGUCGCCCGGCUGUGAGCUUUGUCACUGUGACAGGAACAGCAGCCGUGCCCUCAUGGGCUGCGAGCCCUCGGGGGAUUGGACAUUGUCUUAAAGCCCCAUUGGUCUGCAGUUCCUGGGGUUCUCUCCCGACGGCAGGCCCAGCAUUGCAGGCAGGUCGCGUGCGACAAUUCGUCACCCUGGUGAGGGUCCACGUUCAAACUUCCAAGGAUGGUUUCUACCGACCGUUUCCUUUUCACCACUGAAAACUGGAGAAACCUUAAGUUGACCGUGAUGAGUGGGGGACCAUCUGCAUGGAGGAAGCUCUUCCUCAAGAUGCGGUGCAUUUCCCUUUUAUGGGGAAUUUUAAUUCAUGAAUGACACAGCGGUUGGUGAGCACGGGCUGGGACGGGCCCUGGGGAGAUGAGACCUUGUCUUCUCCCGGGUCCUCCUCCUCCUCGGUGGCCUUUCCCCCCAGGGUGAGGCUAGCCCCAGAGCAGGCUUUACACUCCUUGUCUCCCACACAGUUCUACUCCUGUGCCCUCUGAGCCAGGAGGGGACGCUGGCAGGGGACACUGGCAGCAUCCAGUCUGCGGCACAACCUGGGGUAGAGGAGAACGUCUGCAGGGCCCAGUGCGGCUCUGGGCUCAUGGUCUCAUUCCCAGGACCCGGGAAGCACCGUUGGCAUCACACACUCUGCAGGUGCCGCCAGCCCCCUGGAUCUGCCGGUGCUCCCAGCUCCAGGCCUCUCUGCAUGUUGGAGUCAUGUCCAGGGAAGUGUCCUGAGCUGCCGGGAGCCGCCUCCCCUGGGGGCUGAUCUGUGGGAUAGCACAUAGUCAGUGAUGGGCCCCCUAGGUACAAGUGUGGACCCUUGAUCAAAGUCCGGGGAAUCCCUGUGAUUCAGAGAAUGUGCCACAGUCAGGCCAAGGCCAGGUGGACUCGAGGCCAAGCCCCUGCUCAGCUCCUCCCCGGCCCCCCAACCCCUCUCUUAAGGGCCCUCCCUCAAAACACCCAGCUGAGUUCUGCAGUGGUCACUCAUCUCUGCUUCUGCAGAACUGGAACCGACUGCAGGCCCAGGGCUGGCGCUGGCCGGGGAGAUCCAGAUCAGGAAAGGGACGAGGACAUACGGCCUCCUGUGAGUUCCUGAAGGGAAGAGAGAGCUGCAUUCUCUAGGCAUCAGGGAGAAGGAAGGGGACGAGGCUCUCGGGCAUCCAUCUCAGGACCGUCUGAGUUUGAAUCCUGGUUGGCAAUCUUCUGGCUAGGUGUCCUUGGGCCAGGACAACUUCUGUCCCUCUGUUUCCCCAUCUGUAAAUGGAGAUAAUAUUCAUGCUUUGUUUAUAAGGUUAAGAGGAUUAAAUGAGAUAAAUCAAGAGCUUAGAGGGGUGCAGGACACUUGGGGAGCACCGUUUUAUAUCACCAUGUCACUGCCACGUGAAAAAUGCAGCUACAGAAUGAAAGUGGCUCCUUUUUGGAAAA